GCAGGGGUUGCGCAGUAGGUAUGUUAGUGUUUGCCACAUUGAAAGUGGUCAAAGGGGGUAGACUCAAGUUCUACUGCGCAAGCUUCGUGGGUUCAAAUCCCACCUUCUGCA
rnacentral:tRNA from 1 species